CCCUUAGAUGUUCUGGGCCGCACGCGCGCUACAAUGAUGAAUUCAACGAGUUUAUAACCUUGGUUGAAAAGCCUGGGUAAUCUUUUGAACUUUCGUCGUGAUGGGGCGAGACCCUUGCAAUUAUUGGUCUCCAACGAGGAAUUCCUAGUAAACGCAAGUCAUCAGCUUGCAUUGAUUACGUCCCUGCCCUUUGUACACACCGCCCGUCGCACCUACCGAUUGAAUGGUCCGGUGAAAUCUUCGGAUUGAGACUUUGUUUUCUUCACGGAAAACGCUGUUUUAAAAAGUUGAUUAAACCUUACCAUUUAGAGGAAGGUGAAGUCGCAACA
rnacentral:rRNA from 1 species